rnacentral:lncRNA from 1 species
AUUCCAAGGGAGAGAAGAAAGCAACCCCAGGAAGCCUGGCCCCGAGGACUGUGAGGUAUGGUGGGGCCUUGCUGUGCCCUGGACUGGACAAGAGGCACCCUGGGCUCUGGACACAGCCAGAUCUUCAGCCAAUUGCAUCUCUGGCCCAGGGCAGGCCCUUUAUCUUAUAGCCCAGUGGUGCCUCUCUCCUCACCUAGGAAACAAAGCCAACAGGAUCUGCACCACCUCUGCCUCCGGGACAUUGGAAGGACUAAAUAAGAUCAGAGACCUCAUUCCUAGAUGGAAUGAGGAAUGGUAACGACCACGAUCCUCCCCUCCCAGGAUCUGCGCCACAAGGGAAGAUCAGAACCUUCAGCUGCCGGAAGCACUGCGGCGGAAACGUAGGUCUCCAUCCAGGCUGAUCUGAGCUUGGCUUUCUGGAGCACGCAAACCUCAAUGCACUGAACUGCUGCCGGACCUCACCUUGCCAGGCCCACUGUGCUCACACUCACACAUCGCUCCAUCCACUGGAGGCUGCAGAGGCAAGAUCCACCAAGAAGAUGGUCUUCCUGUCCAGGAUGCCCUUCCCUGAGAGAAGUGUAUUUAAUCUUAAAUUCAGAUGUUUGUUUGUCUACCCACUUAAAACACCCUGUUGAAUAAAAAUUACUCAAGGAA